AGAGAAGAACUGAAGCUCAGCUAUUCACCCUACAGAAAGCCUGAAUUUUGUAAAAGUUCUGCUUAGAAUGAGGAAGAAAGAUGAAGAAUGAGGAGGAAGAAGGGAGGAACAAGAGAGAGAGCCAGGUUUCCAGAAGUUCCCCAGUCAUUGAGCAUUUCUGAGGCUCUUGAUGCAUAUGCCAAGUAGUUAUGGAGAAAGACACAGCAGCUUACCUCUGCAGGCAUCAUUGUGUGAAAGGAAGACCCAGGCUCUCUCACCACCCUUCAACAGAAGCCUUUUGCUAAGGUGAUAGCUACAUGUCCAAGCCUAUUGCGUGGCAUGCAUUUUGCCUUCUGCAGCCCACUAAAGGAAAUUGAGGUAUACGGAAUGCUUAUUUGGUUUACUCAGUAUCAUCCUAAAUGUAUGUACCAAUGCUUAGGAGUUUGCAGUUCACCCGCAAACCUCAGCGAUCCAAGCUCCCCUGGAUGACCAUCACUCACCAAGAAAAGAACAAUAACAGGACCUGUUUUGCUAAUCCAGGACUGUUCUCCAGCACUAACUCUAAAUAAUCCCUUCUGCUAGAGUCCACUUUCUGGAACCUGUUGCCUCCGUUUUCAACGUUUCCCAAACUUGGUCCGUUGUGUGAGCUGGCUGAUAAAAGUUCCAGAUGCCAGGAGGCAGGCACAACAGUCACUGUCCUGUGGCCUUCAUUCCUUGGGGAAAACACCACAAUGGUCAUCACCUGAACAAAUGGAAUGGGGAGAUGUGGAAGUGAAAGAAAGGGAACGCUGAAGAAGACAGUAUCAGAGACCCAGGAGCAAUGAAACCUCAAUUGGCACAGAGGAUUUGGGAAGAAGGACCCAGAUUUGAGUAUUUUCAGCUCUAGGUGCUGAAGAUGUUCAUGAUCAAAUAGACAUGGUAGUUGAGGGAAAGAGGGUUUUGGGGAGCCCUUCUCCUUGGAAUUCUAGGUAAGUGAUGAUGCUAUUUACUAAGAGAAGACAUCCAGAAGAAGGAGCUUGCAUUGUCUUUAUUUUGAUUUUGUUUUGGUGGAAUUGAGAAUACAAUGUAUUAUUACUGU
rnacentral:lncRNA from 1 species